rnacentral:rRNA from 1 species
GAUGAACGCUGGCGGCGUGCUUAACACAUGCAAGUCGAACGAUGAAGCCCAGCUUGCUGGGUGGAUUAGUGGCGAACGGGUGAGUAACACGUGAGUAACCUGCCCUUGACUCUGGGAUAAGCGCUGGAAACGGCGUCUAAUACCGGAUACGAGCUUCCACCGCAUGGUGAGUUGCUGGAAAGAAUUUCGGUCAAGGAUGGACUCGCGGCCUAUCAGGUAGUUGGUGAGGUAACGGCUCACCAAGCCGACGACGGGUAGCCGGCCUGAGAGGGUGACCGGCCACACUGGGACUGAGACACGGCCCAGACUCCUACGGGAGGCAGCAGUGGGGAAUAUUGCACAAUGGGCGCAAGCCUGAUGCAGCAACGCCGCGUGAGGGACGAAGGCCUUCGGGUCGUAAACCUCUUUUAGCAGGUAAGAAGCGAAAGUGACGGUACCUGCAGAAAAAGCACCGGCUAACUACGUG